rnacentral:rRNA from 1 species
AACGAACGCUGGCGGCAGGCUUAACACAUGCAAGUCGAACGCCCCGCAAGGGGAGUGGCAGACGGGUGAGUAACGCGUGGGAACAUACCCUUUUCUACGGAAUAGCUCUGGGAAACUGGAAUUAAUACCGUAUACGCCCUACGGGGGAAAGAUUUAUCGGGGAAGGAUUGGCCCGCGUUGGAUUAGCUAGUCGGUGGGGUAAAGGCCUACCAAGGCGACGAUCCAUAGCUGGUCUGAGAGGAUGAUCAGCCACAUUGGGACUGAGACACGGCCCAAACUCCUACGGGAGGCAGCAGUGGGGAAUAUUGGACAAUGGGCGCAAGCCUGAUCCAGCCAUGCCGCGUGAGUGAUGAAGGCCUCAGGGUUGUAAAGCUCUUUCACCGAUGAAGAUAAUGACGGUAGUCGGAGAAGAAGCCCCGGCUAACUUCGUGCCAGCCGCCGCCGUAACAC